UGCAGCCCCUAACAUUGAGCUGAUGUUGACUUGUGUAACCCGUCAUUAGUCAAUUAGCCAGACUUUUAUUUUGCGGGCCUACUUCCUGUGUUGCCCCAAACUGUUCAACUUAUUUAAAGCCCCGCCUCCAGCGCAGUUUGAACAUCAUCACCUGUUCCACUGUGAUUGUGGCUGACUGUUGGCGUCUUGCUGAUAAUUUCAUCCUGGAAAGUCACCCAAAUCUUUGAAACAACUGAUUUGAACUAUUGACUGUCAGCGGUUGUUACCUGGGCCGUCACUGGAAUUCACAGCUGAUUGUAGUCUGGCACUCUCUGCUCAAAGCAGGUCUUCAGACAUCAGAUUAUCCUGCCGGUUGCCGAGGACGAACGCCAGGAAGGAGAGGAUGAGCGCGUCCAAGAUGCCCAUG